AGGACGAACGCUGGCGGCGUGCUUAACACAUGCAAGUCGAGCGGAAAGGCCCUUCGGGGUACUCGAGCGGCGAACGGGUGAGUAACACGUGAGUAACCUGCCCCUAGCUCUGGGAUAGCUCCGGGAAACCGGGAUUAAUACCAGAUACGACCACUUUAGACAUCUGUCGUGGUGGAAAGGAUUCCGGCUAGGGAUGGGCUCGCGGCCUAUCAGCUUGUUGGUGGGGUAACGGCCUACCAAGGCGACGACGGGUAGCCGGCCUGAGAGGGCGACCGGCCACGACUGGGACUGAGACACGGCCCAGACUCCUACGGGAGGCAGCAGUGGGGAAUAUUGCGCAAUGGGCGAAAGCCUGACGCAGCGACGCCGCGUGGGGGAUGAAGGCCUUCGGGUUGUAAACCCCUUUCAGCAGGGACGAAGCGAAAGUGACGGUACCUGCAGAAGAAGCGCCGGCUAACUACGUGCCAGCAGCCGC
rnacentral:rRNA from 1 species